CCUACGGGAGGCAGCAGUGGGGAAUAUUGCACAAUGGGGGAAACCCUGAUGCAGCGACGCCGCGUGAGCGAUGAAGUAUUUCGGUAUGUAAAGCUCUAUCAGCAGGGAAGAAAAUGACGGUACCUGACUAACAAGCCCCUGCUAACUACUGGCCAGCAGCCGCGGUCAUACUUAGGGGGCAAGCGUGAUGCGGAUUUACUGGGUGUAAAGGGAGUGUAGACGGUCCUGCAAGCCAGAGGUGAAAGCCCGGGGCUCAACCCCGGGACUGCAUUUGAAACUGUAAGGCUAGAGUGUCGGAGAGGAAGGCGGAAUUCCUAGUGUAGGGGUGAAAUGCGUAGAUAUUAGGAGGAACACCAGUGGCGAAGGCG
rnacentral:rRNA from 1 species